GGAAAACAUAAGAGGCUCAUGGAUAAUAAAAAUUAAUGAUAUAGAGAGGUUCGCACCAAUUUCAUGAAAUGAGAUGUUGCCCACCAAUCCCCCCGUCCCCUCGUGGUAUUAUGGAAACUAAUGUUUAGGACUAAUGUUUAUUUUGAUCUAUCAUUUCCACAAUCCUUUGCAUAUUGAGCUAAGUGGUGUUACGUUUAUUACAUAGGUUGGCUUAUUUAGCUAAGAGAUUAUAGUUUGGGCGUAGGGGUGUAAAUGAGUCAAGCUUGACUUGAAUUCGAGCUUGAACUCAAGUGGUGAGUUUAGCCGGGUUCAAGUCAGUGUUCUCAAGGCGAGAGGCGACGCCAAGGCAAUAGGAUACGUUAUGGUUUAAGGCGAGAAGUGAGGUGAGGGUCUUUUUGAAUUGAGGCAUUAUACCCUAAAUUAUAAACAUAAAAAUAUCAUACUUUUAA
rnacentral:misc_RNA from 1 species